rnacentral:rRNA from 1 species
GUGGGGAAUCUUGCGCAAUGGGCGAAAGCCUGACGCAGCAACGCCGCGUGAGCGAAGAAGGCCUUCGGGUUGUAAAGCUCUGUCAGGAGGGACGAAGCCACUCGGGUGAAUAGCCCAGAGGGUGACGGUACCUCCAGAGGAAGCCCCGGCUAACUACGUGCCAGCAGCCGCGGUAAUACGUAGGGGGCGAGCGUUGUCCGGAAUCAUUGGGCGUAAAGCGCGUGUAGGCGGCUCGGCAAGUCCGAUGUGAAAGCUCGAGGCUCAACCUCGAGUCUGCAUUGGAAACUGCCCUGCUAGAGUCCGGAAGAGGGGACUGGAAUUCCUGGUGUAGCGGUGAAAUGCGCAGAUAUCAGGAAGAACACCGGUGGCGAAGGCGGGUCCCUGGGACGGUACUGACGCUGAGACGCGAAAGCGUGGGGAGCAAACAGGAUUAGAAACCCGAGUAGUCC